GCACUGCUGACGAGUCUCAUACUAGGACUAAAUGAUCAUCCAGUGC
rfam:Schistosoma margrebowiei strain Zambia genome assembly, scaffold: SMRZ_scaffold0000621